rnacentral:rRNA from 1 species
UACGUAGGGUGCGAGCGUUGUCCGGAAUUACUGGGCGUAAAGAGCUCGUAGGUGGUUUGUCGCGUUGUUCGUGAAAACUCACAGCUUAACUGUGGGCGUGCGGUCGAUACGGGCAGACUGGAGUACUGCAGGGGAGACUGGAAUUCCUGGUGUAGCGGUGGAAUGCGCAGAUAUCAGGAGGAACACCGGUGGCGAAGGCGGGUCUCUGGGCAGUAACUGACGCUGAGGAGCGAAAGCGUGGGGAGCGAACAGG